CGCAGGCUGGCGGGUGACCCACGACCCGCGCAGAGGUCAUUUUCUUCUGAGAAAGUCACUCUUAAGGAUCGUUCUCUCCCCAACCCCAGCUGGAGCAAGGACAUAAGACUCCUCUUUGAUCACUUCAUGAAGAAAUGUGAAGAUGGCUCCUGGGAAUAUUUGCCAUUUUAUACUUCUAAAUCUUCUCACAAGAGUCAAGACUUGAAAACCAGGUGUCCUGAAAUCGUUUUCUUCUGGGAAAGUCACUCCUAAGGAUUCCCCUCUCCCUAACCCCAGCUGGAGCAAGGACAUGCGACUCCUCUUUGACCAGUUCAUGAAGAAAUGUGAAGAUGACUCCUGGAAACCUUUAUCUUCUUAUGCAGCAAUCACAACUCAAGAUUUCAGAGGCUUUUUUCCUGGUAGGAACAGCUACUCCCACAUAUCAUGACUCCUUAGUACAUUUACUUUCUCAUCACCUAUGAAAUUUCUUUCACCCAGCCCCAGUCUUGCAAUCCCAGGUACAACUUGAGCCUUAUUAUCUGCAGAAUGUGCACAACCUCCAAAUCCACACAUAUAGACAUCCUUUUUUCUGACCACAACCUCUUUCCUUCCAGCUUGCAAGGGCCCCACAGAAAUAAUUCUUGAGACCUUCAGUUCACGGGCUUCUGCAUUCUCAUUGUCCCCUUGGCCCUCUUCUGCCUGAACUCUAGGAAAACUCCAGCCCUGGAUGAAUAUGGCCAUCUGCCAACC